CCUACGGGUGGCAGCAGUGAGGAAUAUUUGUCAAUGGACGAGAGUCUGAACCAGCCAAGUAGCGUGAAGGAUGGCUGCCCUAUGGGUUGUAAACUUCUGUUAUCUGGGAAUAAAAUGUUCCACUUGUGGGAUUUUGUAUGUACCAUAUGAAUAAGGUUCGGCUAACUCCGUUCCAGCAGCCGCGGUAAUACGGCGGAUCCUAGCGUUGUCCGGAUUUAUUGGGUUUAAAGGGGGCGUAGGUGGAUUGUUAAGUCAGUUGUGAAAGUUUGCGGCUCAACCGUAAAAUUGCAGUUGAAACUGGCAGUCUUGAGUACAGUAGAGGUGGGCGGAAUUCGUGGUGUAGCGGUGAAAUGCGUAGAUAUCACGAAGAACUCCGAUUGCGAAGGCAGUUCACUGGACUGCAACUGACACUGAGGCUCGAAAGUGAGGGUAUCAAACAGGAUUAGAUACCCCAGUAGUC
rnacentral:rRNA from 1 species